GGCUGGUCCAAGUGCACUAGUGUUUACAACUAAUUGAUCACAACUAGUUGCAUAUUUCUUUGUUCCUUCUCCAGUCUCACCACUUAACUUGCUUUAA
rnacentral:Y_RNA from 1 species